rnacentral:misc_RNA from 1 species
GUGAAUCAUCGAAUUUUUGAACGCAAAUUGCACUCCCUGGUAUUCCGGGGAGUAUGCCUGUUUGAGGGUCGUUAGAAAAAAAAUCGAAGCGUCGCUGUUUUUUUUAAGGGUGAUCGCAUCGGAAUUGAUGCGUCUUUAAAAUGUUAAUUCAUGUCAAAGUGGCGUAAAAUUCAUCCAUCCGGUACGAAUAAAGCGUAUUUAAGAUCAAUUUUGAUUAAGAAAACGCGAUGAACGUACC